rnacentral:rRNA from 1 species
GGCGAACGCUGGCGGCGUGCUUAACACAUGCAAGUCGAACGGAAAGGCCCUGCUUUUGUGGGGUGCUCGAGUGGCGAACGGGUGAGUAACACGUGAGUAACCUGCCCUUGACUUUGGGAUAACUUCAGGAAACUGGGGCUAAUACCGGAUAGGAGCUCCUGCUGCAUGGUGGGGGUUGGAAAGUUUCGGCGGUUGGGGAUGGACUCGCGGCUUAUCAGCUUGUUGGUGGGGUAGUGGCUUACCAAGGCUUUGACGGGUAGCCGGCCUGAGAGGGUGACCGGCCACAUUGGGACUGAGAUACGGCCCAGAGUCCUACGUGAGGCAGCAGUGGGGAAUAUUGCACAAUGGGCGGAAGCCUGAUGCAGCAACGCCGCGUGCGGGAUGACGGCCUUCGGGGUGUAAACCGCUUUCGCCUGUGACGAAGCGUGAGUGACGGUAAUGGGUAAAGAAGCACCGGCUAACUACGUG